rnacentral:rRNA from 1 species
CCUACGGGUGGCAGCAGUGAGGAAUAUUGGUCAAUGGACGCAAGCCUGAACCAGCCAUGCCGCGUGCAGGAAGACGGCUCUAUGAGUUGUAAACUGCUUUUGUACGAGGGUAAACGCAGAUACGCGUAUCUGUCUGAUUGUACCGUACGAAUAAGGAUCGGCUAACUCCGUGCCAGCAGCCGCGGUAAUACGGAGGAUUCAAGCGUUAUCCGGAUUUAUUGGGUUUAAAGGGUGCGUAGGCGGUCGGAUAAGUUAGAGGUGAAAUCCCGAGGCUCAACUUCGGAAUUGCCUUUGAUACUGGUCGGCUAGAGAGUAGUUGCGGUAGGCGGAAUGUAUGGUGUAGCGGUGAAAUGCUUAGAGAUCAUACAGAACACCGAUUGCGAAGGCAGCUUACCAGGCUACUACUGACGCUGAGGCACGAAAGCGUGGGGAGCAAACAGGAUUAGAUACCCGGGUAGUC